CCCUUAGAUGUUCUGGGCCGCACGCGUGCUACACUGAGUGGAUCAGCGGGUCAGGUUGCGCGAAAGUGUUUCCUAAUCUUGAAAUCCGCUCGUGAUGGGGAUUGACGGUUGCAAUUUUCCGUCAUGAACGAGGAAUACCUUGUAAGCGCGGGUCAUCAUCCCGCGCUGAAUACGUCCCUGCCCUUUGUACACACCGCCCGUCGCUCCUACCGAUUGAGUGGUCCGGUGAGGCUUUGGGAUCUGAGCGGGAAGAGCGUUUCGCUGUUUCUGCUCGGAAAACUCAGUCGAACCUUAUCAUUUAGAGGAAGGAGAAGUCGUAACA
rnacentral:rRNA from 1 species